rnacentral:rRNA from 1 species
ACAGAGGGGGCAAGCGUUGUUCGGAAUUACUGGGCGUAAAGGGCGCGUAGGCGGCCUGCUAAGUCGAACGUGAAAUCCCCGGGCUCAACCCGGGAACUGCGUUCGAUACUGGUUGGCUUGAAUCCGGGAGAGGGAUGUGGAAUUCCAGGUGUAGCGGUGAAAUGCGUAGAGAUUGGAAGGAACAUCAGUGGCGAAGGCGGCCACCUGGACUGAUACUGACGCUGAGGUGCGAAAGCGUGGGGAGCAAACAGGA